rnacentral:rRNA from 1 species
UACAGAAGUCCCAAGCGUUGUUCGGAUUCAUUGGGCGUAAAGGGUGCGUAGGCGGCGCGGUAAGUCGGGUGUGAAAUCUCGGGGCUUAACUCCGAAACUGCAUUCGAUACUGCCGUGCUUGAGGACUGGAGAGGAGACUGGAAUUUACGGUGUAGCGGUGAAAUGCGUAGAUAUCGUAAGGAAGACCAGUGGCGAAGGCGGGUCUCUGGACAGUUCCUGACGCUGAGGCACGAAGGCCAGGGGAGCAAACGGG